UUCUUCUGGGGAUGCAUGAAGCCAGGUGGCGGAGGAAAGCCAUCAGGAGAGCUUCUGCAAUUGAUUGAAAGAGACUUUGGUUCCUUUGAAAAAUUUGUGGAAGAGUUUAAGUCGGCAGCAGCAACACAGUUUGGUUCUGGAUGGGCUUGGCUUGUUUACAAAGCAAACAGGCUUGAUGUUGAAAAUGCAGUAAAUCCUCGUCCAUUAGAAGAGGACAAAAAGCUGGUUGUGGUGAAGAGUUCCAAUGCUGUAAAUCCGCUUGUUUGGGAUUACUCACCACUCCUUACAAUUGAUGUUUGGGAGCAUGCUUACUACCUUGACUUUCAGAAUCGAAGGCCUGAUUACAUAUCAACCUUUAUGGAGAAGCUUGUAUCAUGGGAAGCAGCCAGUGCUAGACUUGAAGUUGCUAAAGCUCAAGCUGCUGAGAGAGAAAAAGAAGAACAGAGGAAAAGAGAUGAAGCAGAGGACAUUCAGGGCAGUGAAGCUGUAGAAAUGUAUGUGGAUGGUGAAACUGAAGAUUCUGGGGCCGAUUAACUCGAGACUUUCUUUCAGGUACAGUAAUGUGGAAAAAUUUUGUGGCCUAUUAUCACAUCCAUCAUUUUGUAUCUUUGAUUGGAAUAUAGAGGUCGGUUGGAGCGACC
rnacentral:misc_RNA from 1 species